UUUAAGACGCACAAUAUUAUCUUUACAGAAAAUGGCCAAUAACACUGAUUAAUCCUUUCAGUGAUGUCGCAAUGAAAAAGGAGCCUAUAAAACGAACAGCCCCUAGAUGAGGAACGCCUCACAACAUUAACGGAGCACACAUGUCUAAAGUUUGAGAAGCGUAUUCACUUCCACAAAGUCGACGGUCGGCCCAUACAGCUGAGGAGAAAAAGACGAAAUGCAUCCAACCCAGUUCCAUAAGAUGAAACGGAGACACAAGUUAAAAAAAAAUCAACAAAACCCUCGGAGGAAUGACAACAAUUUCAGAUCACAGCAUCCUGAAGAGAACGAAAACUGGGAAAAGGAGAUAGAGGAGUGUGCACGCUCCAAUGAAUUUAAAGACCAACCCCCUUAUGAUUCUGGAGAUGAACUGAAUACAACUGAGAUGAUUUCGUGUGAUGUCCAAAAUAGCGCAAACAUAAACCACCAAGACCACUACAUCCCAGCAGCUCACCACACACACCCUGUAAAAUGGGUCCGCUAUAUUUAUGCCAAAGUGGCUGACCAGUUUUCUGAUGCUGAAGAAUAAGGCUGUCUACUGUUACAUGUUUUGUUUUUACUAGAAUAUUUUAUUUCUUAAUUUGAAGAUUACAAUUUUACUGUUUUUAAGUUUAUAAAUGUUUUAAGUUUAUAAAUACAGAGUUAAUGAAAAUGUUCAGUUUAUAAAUACAGAGUUAAUGAAAAUGUUCAUUUAAAGAAGUGGUUCAACCAAAUAUGAAAACUCUCUCAUAGUUUACCCACUGGUAUUACAUCCUAGAUGUAUAUAACUUCCUUUCUUUGGUUAAACACAAAUUAAUAAUUUCAUGUUAAAAUGUUGGCAUGUUAUUUUUGCACACAGGGUUCAAUGGUGAAACUGCAAAAAACAUAUUAAUGUAUUUAAAAUGACUUAAAUGGGUUAAUACAUUUAUUCUAAAGCAAAAUCAUAUCUUUGUGUGAGAAAACAUCAGGUUUUAUUUGGCGAAUGGACAGCACAUAUUCAAUGAGAUAUAACAUUAUAAACACGCAGCCAUUUUUGGACUUACUGCUCUCAAUUAUAUGUGUAAAGUCAAAGAAUGUAUUGAUGGUAGGUAAAUUAUGAGAGAGUUUUUAUAUUCUGAUGAAAUAUUUAUAUUACUAUGUUUUUGUUUUUAGUGACAUCUCAUUGUCUAAAAUUAAGUUAACAAUUGUAAACAAGAAUGUUGAUCAAUUCAUUGCUUAACACCAUAAUACUUCUGUACUGCUAAUUUACGUUUCCAUGUUAGUCAAGGUAUAGUUGAGAAUUUAAAGUGGUUCAUGUAAAUCAAAAAAAAAAUUUGAAUUAACUAAUGUUCUUGAAGUUUACGGCACAAUAAAAUCCUGAAAUGUAA